rnacentral:rRNA from 1 species
GACAAUGGGCGAGAGCCUGAUCCAGCCAUGCCGCGUGCAGGAAGACUGCCCUAUGGGUUGUAAACUGCUUUUAUACAGGAAGAAUAAGCCUUACGUGUAAGGUGAUGACGGUACUGUAAGAAUAAGGACCGGCUAACUCCGUGCCAGCAGCCGCGGUAAUACGGAGGGUCCGAGCGUUAUCCGGAAUUAUUGGGUUUAAAGGGUCCGUAGGCGGAUGAUUAAGUCAGGGGUGAAAGUUUGCAGCUCAACUGUAAAAUUGCCUUUGAUACUGGUUAUCUUGAGUUGUAUUGAAGUAGGCGGAAUAUGUAGUGUAGCGGUGAAAUGCAUAGAUAUUACAUAGAACACCAAUUGCGAAGGCAGCUUACUAAGUACUAACUGACGCUGAUGGACGAAAGCGUGGGUAGCGAACAGGAUUAGAUACCCUGGUAGUCCACGCCGUAAACGAUGGAUACUAGCUGUUCGGGGCCUUGAGCUCUGAGCGGCUAAGCGAAAGUGAUAAGUAUCCCACCUGGGGAGUACGUUCGCAAGAAUGAAACUCAAAGGAAUUGACGGGGGCCCGCACAAGCGGUGGAGCAUGUGGUUUAAUUCGAUGAUACGCGAGGAACCUUACC